GGUCUAAUAGUGUAGAGGUUAUCACAUGGGAUUUUGAUGCUAUAUAACUUCCCAUAACCCAGGUUCGAGUCCUGCUUGGACCU